CUUUCCCCUAGAGGAGUUAGAUGCAGGUGUGACUGCUGUGUCACAUGUGUGUCAGUAGAUGGCAGAGAGGAGAGAGGCUGUGUCUGUGUUUAGUGUUCUGACCUAUGAACAUCUGAAUAAUUAGUGACAGU